rnacentral:rRNA from 1 species
UACGGAGGGUGCAAGCGUUAUCCGGAUUUACUGGGUUUAAAGGGUGCGUAGGUGGACAGGAAAGUCAGUGGUGAAAUCUUCGAGCUUCACUCGGAAACUGCCAUUGAUACUAUCUGUCUUGAAUACUUUGGAGGUAAGCGGAAUAUGUCAUGUAGCGGUGAAAUGCUGAGAUAUGACAUAGAACACCAAGUGCGAAGGCAGCUUACUACACAGUUAGUGACACUGAGGCACGAAAGCGUGGGGAUCAAACAGG